rnacentral:misc_RNA from 1 species
AACGCACAUUGCGCCCGCCAGCAUUCUGGCGGGCAUGCCUGUUCGAGCGUCAUUUCAACCCUCAAGCUCAGCUUGGUGUUGGGGCCCUACGCCUGGCGUAGUCCCCUAAAGGUAGUGGCGGACCCUCUCGGAGCCUCCUUUGCGUAGUAACUAACGUCUCGCACUGGGAUCCGGAGGGACCUCUCGCCGUAAAACCCCCAAUUUUUCUUAGGUUGACCUCGGAUCAGGUAGGAAUACCCGCUGAACUUAA